UGCCAGCCGCCGCGGUAAUACGGAGGGUGCAAGCGUUGUUCGGAAUUAUUGGGCGUAAAGCGCGUGUAGGCGGAUGAAUUAGUCAGAGGUGAAAGCCCCGAGCUCAACUUGGAAACUGGCGAACUUGAGUACGGGAGAGGAAAGUGGAAUUCCGAGUGUAGGGGUGAAAUCCGUAGUUAUUCGGAGGAACACCAGUGGCGAAGGCGGCUUUCUGGACCGAUACUGACGCUGAGAUGCGAAAGCUAGGGUAGCGAACCGGAUUAGAUA
rnacentral:rRNA from 1 species